ensembl:lncRNA
ACCAAGGCGCAGAACAAGGAGCACGUGGUGGAGGCGCUGCGCCGCGCCAAGUUCAAGUUCCCGGGACGCCAGAAGAUCCACAUCUCCAAGAAGUGGGGCUUCACCAAGUUCAACGCCGACGCCUUCGAGGAGAUGGUGGCGCAGAAGCGGCUGAUCCCCGACGGCUGCGGGGUCAAGUACGUCCCUGCCCGGGGGCCCCUGGAGCGCUGGAGGGCCCUGCACGCCUGAACCCCAAAAAAAACCACCCCGGAGCCCCCCAAAAUCCUCCCGGAACCCCCCAGAAUCCACAGGGAACCCCAGAAUCCAGGGGGAACCCCCCAAACCUGUGGGAAACUCCCCAAAAUCCGCGUGGAACACCAGAAUCCACGGGGAACCCAAAAAUCUUUGGGGAGUCCCCCAAAAUCCACGGGGAGCCUUGAAAUCUAUGGGGGAACCUGCCAAAGUCCACAGGGAACCCCCCAAAAUCUGAAGGGAACCCCAAAAUCCACGGGGAACCCACCAAAGUCUGCGGGGAAACCCCAAAACUUGUGGAGAACCCCCUCAAAAUCCAUGGGGAACCCCAGAAUUUGUGGGGAACCCCCCCAGAAUCCACGGGGAACCCCAAAAUCUGCGGGAAACCCCCCAGAAUCCAUAGGGAACCCCAAAAUCUGCGGGGAACCCCCCAAAAUCCAUGGAGAACCCCCCCCCAAACCUGUGGGAAACUCCCCAAAAUCUGCAGGGAACACCAAAAUCCACGGGGAACCCAAAAAUCUGUGGAGACCCCCCAAAAACCACGGGGAGCCCCAAAAUUCCUGAGGCUGGGGAGGCCCGGCUGCGGUUUUGGGGCUCUGGGUGGAAUAAAAAGGAUUUUCUUUGUCCCUGCUGGCACCGUUUGGGUUUUUGGGGGAUUUUGGGGGGAUUUGGGGUCGCCGGAUUUGGUCCUGGUUGGGUUUUGAGGGGGGGUCUCAGAAAGUUGGGGAGGGGUCGGUUGGGUCCUCUGGGUUUUUUUGGGGGGAUCCCCAAAAUUUAUUUGUUUUUCCCCACCCAAUUCCCAUUUUCCCCCAUUUUUUUACACACAGCCUCAUUUUUUUCCCUUUCCCUGUCCCAAAUUCCCAUUUUCCCCUAUUUUUUACCCCCAUUUCCCAUUUUUUCCUCAUCCUUUACCCCCCCAAAUCCCAUUUUUCCCAAUUUUUAACCUGCUCAGGUCCAUAAAAUCAGGGACAGAUCAGGGAUCCCCCAAAUCCUGGUUAUUUUUUGGGAUCCCCAAAUUUUGCCUCCGCCGGGUUUUGGGGAGUCCCAGGAAGGUGAGGUCAGCUCGGGGCUCCCCAAAUUUCUUUUUUUUGGGGAUUUUUUGGGGGAAUUCCCAAUCUUUGCCCCCCCUCCCCAGUUUUUUUGAUUUUUUUGGGCGAUCCCCCAGAUUUUCCACCUCCCCCCCAAAAAAAGAGGCUGCACAAAAAGGGUGAAAUGAGUAAAAACGAGGUUUUUGUGUUUUUCCUUCAUUCCCAAACGCGGCCCCUCCCCCCCACAGACACGGACAGAGGUGGGGGAGGGGAGGGGAGCACCCCAGAAUUUUUGGGGUUUGGUUUUUUUUUUGGGGAGGGGGUCCAGGGCUGGUUUGGCCUCCUGGGACCCUCCCAGCCCUGGGGAGGAGGUGACAAAAAGUGUAAAAAAACCCUGAAAAAAUCCUAAAUCAGCCCCAAAACUAAGCACGGCCACAGACACGACAAUGGGGGAGGGGAAAAGGGGGGGCGAGGGGCGACCCCCACCCCUCAUUUUGUG